rnacentral:rRNA from 1 species
GUGUCUUCGAGUCGUUGAUUUCACACUGCCGAGAAAAGCCUCUAGAUAGAAAAUAGGUGCCCGUACCGCAAACCGACACAGGUAGUCAAGAUGAGAAUUCUAAGGUGAGCGAGCGAACUCUCGUUAAGGAACUCGGCAAAAUGACCCCGUAACUUCGGGAGAAGGGGUGCUCUUUAGGGUUAACGCCCAGAAGAGCCGCAGUGAAUAGGCCCAAGCGACUGUUUAUCAAAAACACAGGUCUCUGCUAAACCGUAAGGUGAUGUAUAGGGGCUGACGCCUGCCCGGUGCUGGAAGGUUAAGAGGAGUGGUUAGCUUCUGCGAAGCUACGAAUCGAAGCCCCAGUAAACGGCGGCCGUAACUAUAACGGUCCUAAGGUAGCGAAAUUCCUUGUCGGGUAAGUUCCGACCCGCACGAAAGGCGUAACGAUUUGGGCACUGUCUCAACGAGAGACUCGGUGAAAUCAUAGUACCUGUGAAGAUGCAGGUUACCCGCGACAGGACGGAAAGACCCCGUGGAGCUUUACUGUAGCCUGAUAUUGAAAUUCGGCACAGCUUGUACAGGAUAGGUAGGAGCCUUUGAAACGUGAGCGCUAGCUUACGUGGAGGCGCUGGUGGGAUACUACCC